GUCAUCGCGACCUUAAAGCUAGCUCUCGUAGCUCUCCAUAGACAUGUCGAUCACUUUUCUAGCUCAUUCAUAGGCUGAGAUAUGCGCUUGUAAAGUUGAGGAGGCGGGACCACUGAGCGUGUCUUCCUGAGGACGUCCAGUUCAGCUAGAAAGCUAGUUGGAGAGUACUGACAGUGUUUCCCCCUGUAUUAUUGCGUUAAAAACCGGUUAGAGCACUUUGUCUUUGCACAAUGGCUUCACAAAAGGUGUUUUUUGGUGUGAAUUCGGUUUUGGAGGAGCUUGAUCGUCUGAGUGACUGAAUCUUUCAGCAACACUAGCUUUGACGCGGUCAGAAAAGCUGCGUGGGACAGGACCCUCAUCUUCAACUAGACUGAGUGAUGAAGGAUGGAUAGUAGCUAACAAGUCAGCCAGGCACCUACAAGGAAGUGGUUUGGCCACCAGCACACCUCCCACCUCCAUCUCUAUCAUAAAAGUGUGAACAAAUACAAUUAAAAAACACAAAGUAUUCCACUGAUUUGUUAAAAUGUAGGUGGUUUUCUGUCAAAUGAGACCAUUUUUAUCCAUUUACUCUAACAUAUAUGAGUAGGGCACUCUUUUUAAUUCAGGUAUGCCCAUUUUUUUCAGUACAAGUACACAUGGAGGCGCCAGUGCCAUCUUUCAGUUAAAUCUCAAUAAUUUUUGUUCAGAAGGAGAUAUUGAGUAGAUUCUUUUUUCCCCUGUUUACUGCUACACCGGUGGAAUAAAAAUAAAUAUUCUGAAGGGACAUAGACCAAACCGAUCAUAAAUUACAGACUCUUAAAUCAAAUCUUGAUUUGAAAAAUAAUUACCGUACGGUAAUUUUUUUUGUGUGUGUUAUUGAUGUAUUAUUCUUGUCAUAUUGUGAGCAAUAACACAGUAUUGCCUUUCAGUUUUUAGGCUUUUAGCAUAUAUCCUAACUCAAAUGAACUAAUUAUUACAGUAUAAAGUGAAAUGCUCUGCUGAUGAUGUUGUGUUGAAUGAGUGUUGAGUUUGAGUCUCAAUAUUAUAAAAUAUUAAUAGUAAGCUUUCAACUGUUUUUCUUACCAUUAAUUAAACUUGCAAGAAUUGA